rnacentral:rRNA from 1 species
AGAGUUUGAUCCUGGCUCAGAUUGAACGCUGGCGGUAUGCUUUACACAUGCAAGUCGAACGGCAGCACGGGGCAACCUGGUGGCGAGUGGCGAACGGGUGAGUAACAUAUCGGAACAUAUCCGGAAGUGGGGGAUAACGUACCGAAAGGUACGCUAAUACCGCAUAUGCCCUGAGGGGGAAAGGGGGGGAUCGCAAGACCUCUCGCUUUCGGAGUGGCCGAUAUCAGAUUAGCUAGUUGGUGAGGUAAAGGCUCACCAAGGCGACGAUCUGUAGCUGGUCUGAGAGGACGACCAGCCACACUGGAACUGAGACACGGUCCAGACUCCUACGGGAGGCAGCAGUGGGGAAUUUUGGACAAUGGGCGCAAGCCUGAUCCAGCCAUACCGCGUGAGUGAAGAAGGCCUUCGGGUUGUAAAGCUCUUUCAGCCGGAAAGAAAUCGUGCAGAUUAACACCCUGUAUGGAUGACGGUACCGGAAGAAGAAGCACCGGCUAACUACGUGCCAGCAGCCGCGGUAAUACGUAGGGUGCGAGCGUUAAUCGGAAUUACUGGGCGUAAAGCGUGCGCAGGCGGCUUUAUAAGCCAGAUGUGAAAUCCCCGGGCUUAACCUGGGAACUGCAUUUGGAACUGUAAGGCUAGAGUACGGCAGAGGGAGGUGGAAUUCCGCGUGUAGCAGUGAAAUGCGUAGAUAUGCGGAGGAACACCGAUGGCGAAGGCAGCCUCCUGGGCCAGUACUGACGCUCAUGCACGAAAGCUGGGGAGCAAACAGGAUUAGAUACCCUGGUAGUCCACGCUGUAAACGAUGAGUGCUAGGUGUAGAGGGUAUCGACCCCUUCUGUGCCGCAGUUAACACAAUAAGCACUCCGCCUGGGGAGUACGGCCGCAAGGUUGAAACUCAAAGGAAUUGACGGGGGCCCGCACAAGCGGUGGAGCAUGUGGUUUAAUUCGACGCAACGCGAAGAACCUUACCAGGGCUUGACAUCUACAGAAUCCUUAGGAAACUAGGGAGUGCCCUUCGGGGAGCUGUAAGACAGGUGGUGCAUGGUUGUCGUCAGCUCGUGUCGUGAGAUGUUGGGUUAAGUCCCGCACGAGCGCAACCCCUGUGUUUAGUUGCUAACGAGUAAUGUCGAGCACUCUAGACAGACUGCCGGUGAUAAACCGGAGGAAGGUGGGGAUGACGUCAAAUCAUCAUGCCCCUUAUGUUCUGGGCUACACACGUGCUACAAUGGCCAGUACAGACGGAAGCGAAGCCGCGAGGUGGAGCAAAUCCGAGAAAGCUGGUCUCAGUUCGGAUUGCAGGCUGCAACUCGCCUGCAUGAAGUCGGAAUCGCUAGUAAUCGCAGGUCAGCAUACUGCGGUGAAUACGUUCCCGGGCCUUGUACACACCGCCCGUCACACCAUGGGAGCGGGUUUUACCAGAAGUAGGUAGCUUAACCUUCGGGGGGACGUUUACCACGGAGUGAUUCAUGACUGGGGUGAAGUCGUAACAAGG